UACGGGAGGCAGCAGUGGGGAAUAUUGCACAAUGGGCGAAAGCCUGAUGCAGCUAUGCCGCGUGUAUGAAGAAGGCCUUAGGGUUGUAAAGUACUUUCAUCGGGGAGGAAAAACAAAACUAAUAAUUUUAUUUCUUGACGUUACCCGAAAAAGAAGCACCGGCUAACUCCGUGCCAGCAGCCGCGGUAAUACGGAGGGUGCUAGCGUUAAUCAGAAUUACUGGGCGUAAAGAGCACGUAGGUGGUUUUUUUAAGUCAGAUGUGAAAUCCCUGGGCUUAACCUAGGAACUGCAUUUUGAAACUGAAAUACUAGAGUAUCGUAGAGGGAGGUAGAAUUCGUAGGUGUAGCGGUGAAAUGCGUAGAUAUCUGGAGGAAUACCUGUGGCGAAAGCGGCCUCCGUAACGAAUACUGACACUGAGGUGCGAAAGCGUGGGGAGCGAAACAGGGAUUAGACUAC
rnacentral:rRNA from 1 species